rnacentral:misc_RNA from 1 species
CCGAGUUUACAACUCCCAAACCCCUGUGUACAUACCUAUACGUUGCCUCGGCGGAUCAGCCCGCGCCCCGUAAAAAGGGACGGCCCGCCCGAGGACCCCUAAACUCUGUUUUUAGUGGAACUUCUGAGUAAAACAAACAAAUAAAUCA